rnacentral:piRNA from 1 species
UUUUUUUUUCUGUGUUUAUUA